GAUAAACGCUAGCUACAGGCUUAACACAUGCAAGUCGAGGGGAAACGACAUCGAAAGCUUGCUUUUGAUGGGCGUCGACCGGCGCACGGGUGAGUAACGCGUAUCCAACCUGCCCACCACUUGGGGAUAACCUUGCGAAAGUAAGACUAAUACCCAAUGAUAUCCCACGAAGACAUCUGAAUGGGAUUAAAGAUUUAUCGGUGAUGGAUGGGGAUGCGUCUGAUUAGCUUGUUGGCGGGGUAACGGCCCACCAAGGCAACGAUCAGUAGGGGUUCUGAGAGGGAGGUCCCCCACAUUGGAACUGAGACACGGUCCAAACUCCUACGGGAGGCAGCAGUGAGGAAUAUUGGUCAAUGGGCGAGAGCCUGAACCAGCCAAGUAGCGUGCAGGAAGACGGCCCUAUGGGUUGUAAACUGCUUUUAUAAGGGAAUAAAGUGGGUCACGUGUGACUUUUUGCAUGUACCUUAUGAAUAAAGACCGGCUAAUUCCGUG
rnacentral:rRNA from 1 species